UCACAAUUAGUUGCCAGAAAAUCACUCACACAGUCACUCUCUUUCCCUGGUGUUAAACAGGGGAGAGAAGGCUCCUCUUCUGUGAGGUGUCAAAGGCCUCCCUUGCCUUUAUUCAAGGUGGAUUUUGCUUAUUCACAAACCUGACUUUCUGGAACCAGUGAAAUUUCAGUUCAGGACAUGAGUAGAUUGUCUUGGUUAAAAAUUACAGAGGCAUAUGCUGUUGUCUUCGAUGAGGCCAUACUAUCACAUUCACCAGAAGAGACUGCGUGGUAUCUUCCAUGCUGACAAGUUCACGCAGCCAGGAACUGGGAGACAGAAUUUCACUGACUUUUUCUGUAUGUGGAAAAAUUGAGACGGAUGUGAAGAAAGUUAACUUUUUUUUGUCAAGCUCUCGUCUAUCUGACCCCUAAUGUCACUCAUGGAGGAGGUUCACAUUUCCUGUUCACUAAUUUGACGUACUUAAACAUAUUCAUAAAGUUAUCCCUAAAUGCAGAAAAUAAAGUGUGUCCUCCUUCUACACAUUGCUCCCUGUGCAGUAUACAGUAGCAUGUAUUUAUACGUAAAUGCGAGAGCUUGUAAGAGAUCAUCAGCUGCCCCAUUCCUGAGUGAUAGGUCAGAGACGCCAUUCCUAAUGAGUUGGAACAAACAGGCUCAUUCUCUAGCCCUACGUGAAAGGCUGUGCUUUAGAGCACACCACAUGAAAAGUAUAUCUUGAUCACAUCCUAAUUCUGUGCACAACUGCAAACUUCUGUAAUAGGAUCAAAACAUCCCACAAAUUGUGACAAAAUUCCCCUAAUGUCCUGCAAAUUGCAAGAAAAUUCAUGGGAAAAGAAGCAGGAAAUGAUUUUUUCCUGCCAGGGGAGUGGUGAUGUAGAAUUUUGAUCCGCUGUUUCCCACAAAUGUGAGGAAAAUACAUUUUAGUACUUUUUUAAAAUAUUGCACUUUGGAAUAUACAUUUUUCUGCCUCACGCUUCUGGGAAAAUACUAAAAAAUUGAUGUGUUUAUACAUGUUACUUUCCACUGGUGUGACAGACGCAGGUAUAUGUGUUUAGUAAAGUAUAAUGCAUGCAUGCUAGGUGAUGUGACUGUUUGCUGAUGAACAGAAAUGCCUGUAGUUUUACCUCAGCUUGUCAAUUCCCUAAAGUGGCAGUUCUUAAACCAUUGACUUUCUUUAAUGCUUCAAUUACAAAGGGAGCUUCUUAGAUGAUUUUAAUUGGUGAAAGUAUUAGGAUAAAUUAAAGCAUAUGCAGCUUUA